rnacentral:rRNA from 1 species
AAGCCGGGUUACGGUGCCCAACUGCGCGCUAACCUAGAACCCACAAAGGGUGUUGGUCGAUUAAGACAGCAGGACGGUGGUCAUGGAAGUCGAAAUCCGCUAAGGAGUGUGUAACAACUCACCUGCCGAAUCAUCUAGCCCCGAAAAUGGAUGGCGCUGAAGCGCGCGACCCACACCCGGCCAUCUGGGCGAGCGCCAUGCCCCGAUG